rnacentral:rRNA from 1 species
UCAAUAAGCGGAGGAAAAGAAACUAACAAGGAUUCCCCUAGUAACGGCGAGUGAAGCGGGAAGAGCUCAAAUUUGUAAUCUGGCGGUCUCGCGGCCGUCCGAGUUGUAAUCUGGAGAAGCGUUUUCGGUGCCGGCCCGCGUACAAGUCCCCUGGAACGGGGCGUCGCAGAGGGUGAGAAUCCCGUCUCUGACGCGGCACGCCGGCGCCGUGCGAUGCGCUCUCGAAGAGUCGAGUUGUUUGGGAAUGCAGCUCAAAACGGGUGGUAAAUUCCAUCUAAAGCUAAAUACUGGCGAAAGACCGAUAGCGAACAAGUACCGUGAGGGAAAGAUGAAAAGCACUUUGGAAAGAGAGUCAAACAGUACGUGAAAUUGUUGAAAGGGAAACGCUUGAAGUCAGUCGCGUCUCUCGGGACUCAGUCGGACCCUAGGGUCCGACGCACUUCCCGAGUCGGACGGGCCAGCGUCGAUUUCUAUCGCCGUAAAAAGGUGUGAGGAACGUGGCACCUUCGGGUGUGUUAUAGCCUCGCGUCGUAUGCGGCGGUCGGGAUCGAGGAACGCAGCGCGCGCCCUAAGGCACGGGGUUC